rnacentral:misc_RNA from 1 species
UCGAGUCAGGGUCUUUUAGGCCCGAAACUCCAACCCUAUGUUUAUUUACCGUGUUGCUUUGGCGGGCCCGCCCUCUGGCCGCCGGCGGUUUUUAACCGCUGGUCCGCGCUCGCCAGUAGCCUAAACAAAUUCUUCUCAACUAUGAUGUCUAAGUCGAAUGAUAAAUCAUUUA